rnacentral:misc_RNA from 1 species
UACUGGCAGGAUCAACCAGGCAACAGUAAAGAACAAGUAUCCUCUUCCUCGGAUCGACGAGCUCUUCGACCAGCUCCAGGGUGCUCAGUACUUCUCAAAGGUGGAUUUGAGAUCAGGAUAUCAUCAGCUUCGAGUCAGAGAGCAGGAUGUGUAGAAGACGGCAUUUCGUACUCGUUACGGGCACUACGAGUUCCUUGUGAUGCCGUUCGGGUUGACGAAUGCGCCAGUAGUGGUCUUCAUCGACGAUGUAUUAGUCUAUUCCAAACCCAGAGAGGAGCACGGGCAGUAUUUGAGGACAUCCUUGCAGUUGUUGCGCGACAACCAGUUGUAUGCGAAGCUCAGCA